rnacentral:rRNA from 1 species
CAAGUCGAGCGGAACGAGUUAACUGAACCUUCGGGGAACGUUAACGGCGUCGAGCGGCGGACGGGUGAGUAAUGCCUGGGAAAUUGCCCUGAUGUGGGGGAUAACCAUUGGAAACGAUGGCUAAUACCGCAUAAUAGCUUCGGCUCAAAGAGGGGGACCUUCGGGCCUCUCGCGUCAGGAUAUGCCCAGGUGGGAUUAGCUAGUUGGUGAGGUAAGGGCUCACCAAGGCGACGAUCCCUAGCUGGUCUGAGAGGAUGAUCAGCCACACUGGAACUGAGACACGGUCCAGACUCCUACGGGAGGCAGCAGUGGGGAAUAUUGCACAAUGGGCGCAAGCCUGAUGCAGCCAUGCCGCGUGUAUGAAGAAGGCCUUCGGGUUGUAAAGUACUUUCAGCAGUGAGGAAGGGGUGUGCGUUAAUAGCGUACAUCUUUGACGUUAGCUGCAGAAGAAGCACCGGCUAACUCCGUGCCAGC